rnacentral:rRNA from 1 species
AGAGUUUGAUCCUGGCUCAGAAUCAACGCUGGCGGCGUGCUUAACACAUGCAAGUCGAACGUGAAAGCCCCUUCGGGGGUGAGUAAAGUGGCGUCCGGGUGAGUAACACGUAGGUAAUCUACCUUCGGGUGGGGAAUAACGUCUCGAAAGAGACGCUAAUACCGCAUAAUGCAGCGGCACCUAAUGGUGAUUAGUUGUUAAAGCGGGGGACCGUAAGGCCUCGCGCCUGAAGAGGAGCCUGCGGCAGAUUAGCUAGUUGGUGGGGUAACGGCCCACCAAGGCGACGAUCUGUACUGGUCUGAGAGGACGGCCAGCCACACUGGCACUGUACACAACGGGGCCAAACUCCUUACGGAGCUCAGUGGGGAAUUUUGGGGCAAUGGGCCGGAGAGCCAUGACCCAGCAACCCCUCUUGGAGGGAGG